rnacentral:lncRNA from 1 species
UUCCAGUUUGGGAGCCAUGCAGCUGGAGGCACUGCGGGGAGCAGAUGUUCCAGUUUGAUGUUCCUCCCUGGGUCUCCAGCUGCACGGCCAUCAAACUGGAACAUCAGCUCCCCGGCCCUCAAACCGGAACAUCAGCUCCCCGCCGGAUCUCCAGCUGCACAGCUGUCAACAUCAGCUCCUCCCCGAGUCCUCAGCUGCACGACCCUCAAGUUAGAACAUCAGCUUCUCCCCAAGUCUUCAGCUGCGUGACCCUCAAUCUAGAACAUCAGUUCCUCUACAGGUCUGCAGCUGCAAGACCCUCAAUCUAGAACGUCAGCUCCUCCCUGAGUCUCCAGCUGAAACACCCUCAAAACGAACAACAUCAGCUCCUCCCCAAGUCUUCAGCUGCACGACGCUCAAUCUAGAACAUCAGCUCCUGUCUGGUUCUCCAGCUGCAUGACCCUCAAACUACAACCUCAGCUCUUCCCCGAGUCUUCUGCUGCAUGACCCUCAAUCUAGAACAUAAGCUCCUCUCUCGGUGUCCACCUGUAGUGACCUCAAAUUAGAACGUCAGCUCCUCCCAGAGUCUUCAGCUGCAUGACCCUCAAUCUUUAACAUCAGCUCCUCUCCGGGUCUGCAGCUGCAUGACCCUAAAAAUACACGAACAGCUCCUCCCUGAAUCUUCAGCUGUACGACCCUCAAACUACAACAUCAGCUCCUGUCUGCAUCUCUAGCUGCAGGGCCCUCAAACUAGAAUAUCAGCUCCUCCCCGAUUCUUCGCCUGCAUGACCCUCAAACUAGAACAUCAGCUCCUGUACAGAUUUCCAACUGUAGGGCCCUCAAACUAGAACAUCAGCUCCUCCCCAAGUCAGCAGCUGCAAGACCCUCAAAUUACCACCUCAGCUCCUCCCGGAGUCUUCAGCUGCACGACCCUCAAUCUCGAAGAUCAGAUACUCUCCGGGUCUUCAGCUGUAGGGCCCUCAAACUAUAACAUCAGCUCCUCUCCAAGUAUUCAGCUGCACGACCCUCAAUCUCGAACAUCAGCUCCUCUUCAGGUCUGCAGCUGUAGGGCCCUCAAUCUAGAACAUCAGCUCCUCCCUGAGUCUUCUGCUGCACGACCCUCAAACUAGAAUCUCAGCUCCUCCCGAGUCUUCAGCUGCACGACCCUCAAACUAGAACCUCAGCUCCUCCCUGAGUCUUCAGCUGCAUGACCCUUAAUCUAGAACAUCAGCUCCUCCCCGAGUCUUCAGCUGCACGACCCUCAAUCUAGAACAUCAGCUCCUCUCCAGGUUUGCAGCUGCAAGACCAUCAAACUACAACAUCAGCUCCUCUCCAGGUCUGCAGCUGCAAGACCCUCAAACUAGAACAUCAGUUCCUCCCCGAGUCUUCAUCUGCAUGACCCUCAAACUAGAACAUCAGCUCCUCUCCAGGUCUCCAGCUGCACGACCCUCAAAGUAGAACAUCAGCUCCUCUCCGGGUCUGCAGCUGCAAGAUCCUCAAACUAGAACAUCAGCUCCUCUCCAGGUCUGCAGCUGCAAGACCAUCAAUCUAGAACAUCAGCUCCUCUCCAAGUGUGCAGCUGCACGACCCUCAAUCUAGAACAUCAGCUCCUCUCCAGGUCUGCAGCUGCAAGAACCUCAAACUAGAACAUUAGCUCCUCUCCAGGUCUCCAGCUGCACGACCCUCAAACUAGAACAUCAGCUCCUCUCCAGGUCUGCAGCUCCACGACCCUCAAUCUAGAACAUCAGCUCCUCCCCGGGUCUUCAGCUGCAUGACCCUCAAUCUAGAACAUCAGCUCCUCUCUGACUCUGCAGCUGGAAGAUCCACUAACUAGAACAUCAGCUCCUGUCUGGGUCUCCAGCUCCAUGACCCUUAAUCAAGAUUAUCAGCUCCUCCCUGAGUCCCCAGCUGAAAGACCCUCAACACGAACAACAUCAGCUCCUCCCAAAGUCCUCAACUGCAUGACCCUCGAACUACAACAUCAGCUCCUCCCCGAGUCUUCAGCUGCAUGACCCUCUAUCUAGAACAUCAGCUCCUCUCCAGGUCUGCAGCUGCAAGAACCUAAAAUUAGAACAUCAGCUCCUCUCUUGGUCUGCAGCUGGAAGAUCCACUAGCUAGAACAUCAGCUCCUGCCUGAGUCUCCAGCUCCAUGAACCUCAGUCAAGAUUGUCAGCUCCUCCCUGAGUCUCCAGCUGAAAGACCCUCAACACGAACAACAUCAGCUCCUCCCGAAGUCCUCAACUGCAUGACCCUCAAACUACAACAUCAGCUCCACCCCGAGUCUUCAGCUGCAGGACUCUCAAUCUAGAACAUCAGCUCCUCUCCAGGUCUGCAGCUGCACGACCCUCAGUCUAGAACAUCAGCUCCUCCCCAGGUCUGCAGCUGCACGACCCUCAAUCUAGAACAUCAGCUCCUCUACAGGUCUGCAGUUGCAAGACCCUCAAACUAGAACAUCAGCUCCUCUCCGGAUCUGCAGCUGCUAGACACUCAAACUAGAACAUCAACUUCUGUCCAGGUCUCCAGUUCCGUGACCCUAAAUCUAGAACAUCAGCUCCUCCGAGUCUCCAACUGAAAGACCCUCAACGCGAACAACUAAAGCUCCUCCCCAAGUCUUCAGCUGCACGACCCUCAAUCUAGAACAUCAGCUCCUCUACAGGUCUGCAGCUGCACGACCCUCAAACUAGAACAUCAGCUCCUCUCCAAGUGUGAAGCUGCACGACCCUCAAUCUAGAACAUCAGCUCCUCUCCAGGUCUGCAGCUGCAAGAACCUCAAACUAGAACAUUAGCUCCUCUCCAGGUCUCCAGCUGCACGACCCUCAAACUAGAACAUCAGCUCCUCCCCGGGUCUGCAGCUGCACGACACUCAAACUAGAACAUCAGCUCCUCUCCAGGUCUGCAGCUGGGAGACCCUCAAACUAGAACAUCAGCUCCUCCCCGGGUCUGCAGGUGCAAGACCCUCAAUCUAGAACAUCAGCUCCUCUCCAGGUCUGCAGCUGCAAGAACCUAAAACUAGAACAUUACCUUCUCUCCAGGUCUCCAGUUCUAUCACCCUAAUUCUAGAACAUCAGCUCCUCCCUGAGUCUCCAACUGAAAGACCCUCAAUGCAACAACAUCAGCUCCUCCCCAAGUCUUCAGCUGCAAGACCCUCAAACUAGAACAUCAGCUCCUCCCCGGGUCUGCAGCUGCAAGACCCUCAAUCUAGAACAUCAGCUCCUCUCCAGGUCUGCAGCUGCAAGACCCUCAAUCUAGAACAUCAGCUCCUCUCCGGGUCUGCAGCUGCAUGACCCUCAAUCUAGAAUAUCAGCUCCUCUCCAGGUCUGCAGCUGCACGACCCUCAAUCUAGAACAUCAGCUCCUCCCCGGGUCUUCAGCUGCAUGACCCUCAAACUAGAACAUCAGCUCCUCUCCGGGUCUGCAGCUGCAUGACACUCAAACUAGAACAUCAGCUCCUCCCCGGGUCUGCAGCUGCAUGACACUCAAACUAGAACAUUAGCUCCUCCCCAGGUCUGCAGCUGCAGGACCCUCAAGGUAGAACAUCAGCUCUUCCCCGAGCUAAAACACCUCUCCCACCUGGAUCUCCAGCUCCACGAGUCUCACAGAACAGCCACACUGGCUCCUUCGUUGUCUUCAGCUCCACAACCUAAGACAUCAGUGGGAGCACCGGCUCCUCCCUGGACCUCCAGCUCAACGACUCUCAUAGACUUAAAAGGCAGCACCUGCUCCUCCCCAAGGCUCCAUCUCCACCACCCUCAGAUUUGAACAGCGGUAGCACCACCUCCUCUCCAGGUCUUCAGCCCCACGUCCCUCCCUGAACAAUCCCUUCUCAUGAAAUUCAGCAGUCAAGAAAUCUGCAGCGGAAGUAAAUGAAUAAAUGUUUUGUUUUCAAAUUGAUAUCUCUUUUAUGUUCAUGAGUUAACUUUUCUACUUUCCAUUAGCCUUGCA